UGUGACAUCACUAAGCUGCGAUCACAGACUUUGGGAUGCUGAUAACCUGGCAACCAUGGUGGUCAUGGGGAUCAUGGAGGAAGGGAGGAAAGGCAAAACCAGAAGAUGAAGCAUCCAUUUCAGGAAACAUUAAAGCCUGGCUGUCACAGGAAAGCAUAAGAUACAUGAGUGAAUGCUAAGUCCAGAAAUCUGUAGCUUGAACUGGGAACAUUGCAAGAUCCUUUGUAUUUCCUGGUUCUCCCAUGCCUCCCUUUAGCAUCAGGUCUUUAGCCAUCUGGGGAAUUUGACAAAUCCACAUAAUGUCUCAGAGUGCCGAAAUUUGCAUUUGCAGCUCCAAUGUAACUGAGAGGUGUGUUCACGCACACAUACACACACAAUAGCUAGAAAGUUAGAUAUUAAAUAAACAUCUAAG